rnacentral:lncRNA from 1 species
UUGGCAGAGGUGGGGAGUGGUGAUUCCACCUAACCUGGGUCAGUGACCCCCGAGACCCCACGUGGACCACCUUAGGACAAGAUUUUGGUGUCUGCCUCUUCUCCUCUGGGAGGGGGGGUUCUUUUUGUGCCCGGCUGUUGGGGGAGAACGUGUGACCAGGCCACGUGAACUGAUGCAGAUUUAAAAGUCCGUCUUACCAGCAAGAAUAGUGAUGGGUGUCUCACUGCCUACCCAAUGAUUUCAAGACAGCUCCAUAGAAAGCGCUUCCAUUCUCCCGGCCAACCUUUGCCUCCCUGUAAUGUGUCCUCACUGGCCUGGCUUAGUCAUCUGGAGACACACACAGGCUUUGCACACUCUCCUCCAGCUGUUCGGAGUGGCCUGUGCCCUCCUGACCUUGUAGGUUUGCUGUGAAUCUCUUGUGGUUUCUGUGGGUGCCCCAGGCACCCGCACCUGCAACCUCUGCUUCCGGCCACAGCCGCCUUUCCUUACAAGUAUGUCUGCAAAACUCACAGAAAUGCAGAGAGACACAGAGCGAGCAGCUCAGCUGAGCCCCUCUUCCGAAGAUGAAGCCUUGGUUUUGAGGCAGAAGCCUUCAGAGACGCAAUCCCCAGAGGAGGACACUGUCACUCUGCAGCAGUGGAAAGCACGGCAGCUGCAGCGCCUGGCUGAGGAGUUGAAGGCAGAGUGGCAGGAGGCCCGGCUGCAGCAG